GAACAAUUACAUAACUGGUCUUUGUAAAAUCUUUGUGCAUUAAUUUAAGCCUGAAUGUGUUUGGUCUUCAAAAUACUCACUAAUGAAAUAUCUGUGUGUAAGCUAUGACAAAGGUUAUGCACUACUAACCAGCUGAAGUCUUUCUAAAACGUAUUUUCGUCAGUUAUAAUAAUCUUGUUUAUUUGUUUAUUUAUUGAUACGCCCGC
rnacentral:lncRNA from 1 species